AGGACAGCUUGGUGAGCAGUCAUUCUCCCCAGGCAGAAAGCCCAGCAGAGGGGAAGUUGAGAUGGAGUCGGGCUGAAUCAGUGACUUUCAGGAAAGGAAAAGGAAGCUUGAACAAUCAGAGCUGCAAGACAAGGUUAAAGAAGUUGUCAAGACCGAAUAGUAUCUGGCAAAGCUGGGACUCUCGUCCAGAUCCAUGGUGACCUGGAGGAUGCUCUCUGCCCCUGGAUGGAACGUGGAAGAGACCCUUGACCCUGAGCUGUGGGGUCUAUAGUGGAAAAGAGCUGACUGGCCAAAGACCGUGUUCAGGCUCCUCGGCUCUGUGUCUAGAAUGCAGGAGAUCCCAGCCCUACUAAUACUGCAAGAAGAAUUGCCGAACAUAGGGGCUGGCAAGAACCUUCCUCGCUUCCCUGCAGGGAUGAAGCACAGAGAGAUGAUGUGGAAAGCUCCAGAUCGCACAGCCAGGAGGAGAACCAGGCUGUCAAGGAGAAGCCUUCAAAGGGUGUCCAUUCUUGCCCUUCUAGGCCUGGAGGAGGCAGCUUGCCCACUUGCUGACUCAGGCCGAAGACAGGCUGAGCGGUUGAUCUCAGCAGGCUGGAAUAGGAGAGGGAGUGUGAGGGUGGGGUGUCGUGGGGAAGCCGGGGGCAGAGGAGAGUCUAGGAUGUUGCACAAGGAAGGGGUGGGGAGGGAGGGUCCACUUUAAUGAGGCAGCAGAAAUGGAGAGGGGCUGACUCCCUGGACAGAGGCUGCCCGCCCCCAUGAUGCUGGGCCAAGCUGCCGGGAUCAAAGCUGCCCUGGGCAUCAUUCGCUGGGAACGGUGCAAGAACGCUGGGCCCGCUACCGCCUCGGCUUCUCUCGGGGCCUCCCUGACGGAGCUGCCUCGGUCUCUGUCCUCCACAGCGCCCUGCCUGCACUUGCUUCAGAAGAGGACUGUUCUGGCCCAGUUGCCCUCUCCACGCCUCCAGCUUGGGUGGCUGACUCAGUCCACUGCGGGGAUGCCCAGGGCCGCCUGUGGCUGCAGACCGUCCACCGUAUCUACCCCAUGCUCCCUUCUCUGGCCCACGGGGUCUUCCGGGCCUCAGCACCACCUCCACCUCCCUUCGUCCUUGAGCAUGGCUCUGGACUCAGCCACGUUUGUCUGGCUCAAUAACCUCACUGUCUGCCUCUCCGUUUUGCUCUUAGCCUUGGCCUAGGCCAGCAAAAUGAGGAAAGUGGACCUGGCCCUUCCCCACCCUGGUCCUUUUCAAAGCUUCAUUCCAGGUUGACCCCUCCAAGUCCCGCCAUCGGCCUCCCUGUGUGUGAGCCUCCUUCCUCUCGGCUACUGUGUCUGCGGUGGGCUGCAGGGAGGCCAGCUGGGGUCGGGAGGCUCAGGUCUGUCUCAGGCUUGCCCAUCCGGAGAGAGCUGGCUUUGGUUCUAUUCCAGGAGCUGGGGGUGAGGGCAGAAGGAAGCAUGGCCGAGGAGAGGCAGCUGGGAGAGCCCUCUUGCCAAGUUUGGAGGACACAUUAGGGUGGGGAUGGAAGGAAAGGAUUCUCAAGAGGGAGAGGAGCUGGGCUUGGUAUCAAAAUCGUAAGGAGAAAAGAAUUUGAACUUUCUUCUGGGGUUUGUGAGUUCUAGAGAAUGGUUUCUUCGAUAGGACUUCUUAGAUGCUUAUCGGAGGUUCUCAAACAUUUUUCCAUUAGGGCCUCCCUGUCUCCCUCCACUCAGAUUCCCCUACUCCCCUUCUCCUCCAGUCUCUGGCUCCACAUUUUUCUUGAGCUUUCUGUGGUUUUUGGAUGGGCUUCACUUCCCGCAUUUUACAGAUGAAAAAAUCAGAGACUGAGAAAGAUCUGGUGAUUUACUUACAGACCCACAGCCAGUAAUGUUAGAGCUGGAAGAGUGACCAGGUUCGCCUGGCUCUGAAGCCUGUGCUCAUUCCAUUACCCCCUCCUACGGAUAUGCAGGGCGUGUGUGUCUGUGUCUGUGUGCUUUGUGUGUUGGGGUGUGUGUGAUUUGGCAGAAAUCCUUAGAGGAUUGUUAACUGGCCUUCCCUUCCCUUCCCUUCCCUUCCCUUCCCUUCCCUUCCCUUCCCUUCCCUUCCCUUCUCUUCCCCUUCCUCCUCUCUCUCACCUUCGGAUGGUGUAAUGGGCUGUCUUUGUUCAUGGCCUGUUUUCCUUCUAGGCAAAUGCCAGCAUUUGCUUCCAUGCAGGUUCAGGGCCUCCAGCAUCCAGCCCUGUCUCACUCCGGAAGAGGGAAAGGCUUUUGUAACUCUUCCCACGCACAGUAGCAAUGUCUGCACCAACAGGGGCGUCUGGGUGAAAUAGAACAUUUUGGGAGAAAGCAGGAGCAUCAGGAGGCCUGUGUUCUCGGCUUGACUUGGUCUUUUACCAAUUACAUGACCUUGGGCACGUCUCUGAACCUCAGUUGCUUUUUCCUUAACUGGGCAAUAGGGAUAACAUACUAUCAUCCUCCCAGGAGUUGGGUUAGAAGAGAUAACGCACGUUAACACGCUUGGCGGACUGUAAGGGGUCACGUCGUUCGUAAAUGUCCACCAGGGGAAUCAGGGAUGUUUGGAUGCACUGCCCCCCUCCCCCCACCAGCAUCCCACUGGUGAUAUUAUGGGAACAGUAUCCUCUCUGUACCCUGGUUAGAGACAGGGUCUAGCUGGAUGGACCAUUCUAGAUGAUAAUUCUUAUUAUGGCAGAAUGAACUACCUGGUGGCCUCCCCACUUUUCAUCAAGGGGAUAUUAGAAAUUAGAAGGAAUCUAAUUAGUCAUUCUAGGUACUGAGAACACUUAGCAACUGAUGUGGUAACGCUUCUACUGUAAGCCAAGCUCGGGAAUGAGUGAUGCUUUCUUAGGUAAAUUAGUGCUGGGGUUAUUGUUUUAUAAGGGCAGGGUCAAAGACAAGCUAAGAGGAAAAAUAGCCCUUCCUCCUAUGAGAGCAGACUGCGUUGGCUCUGGGAAAAGACCAAUUGCUCACCAUGCCUGGAGACAGGCUUGCUUCUUGGCUAAUGAGGACAUUGGCCACAGCUGUCCCGUGGGAGACCCACUAGCAACCGCUGCCAAGAGAAGAGGCUUCAUAAGCAUCUGGCUAAAUUCGAGGCCAUAAAUACGAGAGCUUUCUGUGGGGAGGGAAGGAGUAGGGACACUGGUCCUUGAAGGAAGGGGCUUUAAGGAAAGGAUGAGAAAUUGAGAAGAGAGACAACGAGGUCUGGAGGGGAAGGGGACGGAAGUGUGUCUCAAGGCCAGUGGCUGUGACGCCUCCUUACUUUGUUGGUACUUGGAAAUGAACAAGUUAACUUUCCUCUGCUGUUGUAUUGCUGUUAAGAUCUACCCGAUCCUGGAGUGAAAUGAACAAAUAGACUUUGCCUAUCUCCGUUUUCGUUCUCUGUUUGACUUGAGACACCCUCUGGGAAGAAGGCACUGAGAAAGGGACAGAACUCUUCCCCACCUUCUUGCAGGGGAUUUUUCGGAGGUGACUAGAGGAGCACUGGCUGCUGGUGGGUUCCCAAGUAGAGUUACCAUGUACUGGCGCAGAAGAGGGGUCCAGGAGCCAGGUGUGUGGGCGAUGACCAGCCCAACAUACCCAUUCAGGGGAGAGGCUGAAUUCCCUGCUGGCUGCUCAGAGGCUGGUAAGGAAGAACUUCUGAGAAACCUGAGUAACAUCAUAUGCUCAGAGUCUAGGUGCAAAUAUUCCUGAAUAUUCACUCCAGCUGUAGAAACAAACCCAACAGUCAUCUUGUUCCUCCUCCUGCCAUAUGCAGACUUUAAAAAAAAUAUUUUAUUUAUUUAUUAGAGAGAGAGAGAGCACAGGAGAGGGAGAAGCAAACUCCCCACUUAGUGGAAAGCUCAAUGUAGGUUCUGAUCCCAGGACCCCAAGAUCAUGACCCAAGCUGAAGGCAGAUGCCUAACCGACUGAGCCACCCAGGUGCCCCCAGACUAACUUUUGAUAUCUUGUUGUCUUACUGUCUUAUAUAGAUUACUUACCCUGUAUCUCAGGGAUCAUGAGACUAUGUACCCCUCCACACAGCCAUCCAUCCCUCCAUCCCUCCCUCCAUCCAUCCAUCAUGUAUUGAAAGAUAAGUAAAACAAGGAUCCUUUCCUUUAAGAACUCAUGGUAUAGUCUUUUCAGAGGUUCCAAUGCCUAACUAACAGGAGUAAUUUCUAAUGUCUAAUUUACAUAUCUAACAUCAUCUAAUAUACAAUUUCUAAUGUCUAAUCUCAUGCCUUUGUGUUAUAAACAAAGAUAAAGGUAAGAAACUCAUUCACUUCUGCAUAUAUUCAUCCUACAAAUAUUUUUGCUGUGUCCUCGGUUCAGAGUGUACUGGCAGACACCCCCCUAUCUUGGACAUCCUGCUUACUUUUCAAGCACGCUAGGUACAUCCCAAGACAGGGAAAUGAGCUAGCAUUAACAAUGUGGUCAAGUAAGUCUCAGUCGCAACUCUACGCAUUCGGACAAAAUGGAGCUCCCACAAUUCCUUCUGCUUAAGGAUCUCAAAAUGUCUAAGAGCAUAAUCAUUUCCCAGAGGGAGCAAUUGUAUGUUGAGGGUUUCAUCCAACUGGCAUAGGGCAAGCCUCAGGAUUCCUAAUCAUUGGCCAUGAAACCUUUUCCAAAGGAGCAGGUAAGUAAGGCUGGCCUUUUUGCCUCUGUCUGAACCUGCCCCCCAGCCCUUCCCUUGGGUUCCCACUCCCCUCCCCUUGGAUCCUCUCCGCUUCUGCUCCUUCUUCUAGAAGGGAAGAGGGCAGAGGGAGGUGGGCUGAGGACUGGGACAGGAAUACCCCUGGAACAUUCAGGCUCUCUCCGUUCAUCAAAGGGGGGCUAGCUGGUUGCUGGAAGGAGUGGGGGUGGGGAAGAGAGGGAGAGGGCUCUUCAGGCUGGGAAAGAUCCAGAACUCUCAUUAAUGUCUGACACCUCCAAUAAAAGCUGCAUAUUCCCCAAAAGCGAUUUUUGAAAAUCCUAGGCUCUUUGAAGCUUGGUGUUUAACUGCCACUCCUUCCAGCACUUAAUAGGAAACCAAGCCCCUUGGCUUGCUCCCACGGCUCCCACCUGGGGCAAUUUCCCUCCCCAAGCAUCUGAGGUCCUUGUAUGCCUCUUACAGCUGGGCAUGAAAGGGAGGCCUUGGUCCUUGCAGAAUAAAGGGUGGCUGCCCCCGGGGACUGUGGCUACAGUGGUAAUGAUGCCCUUCUGGUCUGGUGCGGGUCACAGCCGGUGGCAAGGAAGCAGGGGUAAAACUUUGGAAAUUGGAAAGGGGAUGGAGUUGACAGAUGUGGCUGAGCCCAAGCAGUUAUUUUUCUAGACUGCCUUUUUUCCCUCCUUCAUUUCACUGAACAAGCAGCACUUCUACAAAUACUGAAAUAGGAGGAUACUGAAAAGUAAGUCCUCUGUUACCGCAGACAACCCGUCUUCCAACCGGGAAGCAGUGACUAUUAACAGCGUUUUG